rnacentral:misc_RNA from 1 species
GAUGAAGAACGCAGCGAAAUGCGAUAAGUAAUGUGAAUUGCAGAAUUCAGUGAAUCAUCGAAUCUUUGAACGCACAUUGCGCCCCUUGGUAUUCCGAGGGGCAUGCCUGUUCGAGCGUCAUUACACCACUCAAGCUAUGCUUGGUAUUGGGCGUCGUCCUUAGUUGGGCGCGCCUUAAAGACCUCGGCGAGGCCACUCCGGCUUUAGGCGUAGUAGAAUUUAUUCGAACGUCUGUCAAAGGAGAGGAGCUCUGCCGACUGAAACCUUUAUUUUUCUAGGUUGACCUCGGAUCAGGUAGGGAUACCCGCUGAACUUAAGCAUAUCAAUAAGCGGAGGA